rnacentral:rRNA from 1 species
UGGGGAAUAUUGCACAAUGGGCGCAAGCCUGAUGCAGCCAUGCCGCGUGUAUGAAGAAGGCCUUCGGGUUGUAAAGUACUUUCAGCGAGGAGGAAGGUGUUGUGGUUAAUAACCGCAGCAAUCGACGUUACUCGCAGAAGAAGCACCGGCUAACUCCGUGCCAGCAGCCGCGUAGUAAUAGCGGGUAGGGAUGGCAAGCUAGUUGAAAUUCGGAAUUACUGGGCGUAAAGCGCACGCAGGCGGUCUGUCAAGUCGGAUGUGAAAUCCCCGGGCUCAACCUGGGAACUGCAUCCGAAACUGGCAGGCUAGAGUCUUGUAGAGGGGGUAGAAUUCCAGGUGUAGCGGUGAAAUUGCGUAGAGAUCUGGAGGAAUACCGGUGGCGAAGGCGGCCCCCUGGACAAAGACUGACGCUCAGGUGCGAAAGCGUGGGAGCAAACA